rnacentral:rRNA from 1 species
UCGGGAAUUUUGGGCAAUGGGCGAAAGCCUGACCCAGCAACGCCGCGUGAGGGAUGAAGUAUUUCGGUAUGUAAACCUCGAAAGAGUGGGGAGAAUAAAUGACGGUACCAUUUAUAAGCUCCGGCUAACUACGUGCCAGCAGCCGCGGUAAUACGUAGGGAGCAAGCGUUGUUCGGAUUUACUGGGCGUAAAGGGCGCGUAGGCGGCGCGGUAAGUCACUUGUGAAAUCUCUGAGCUUAACUCAGAACGGCCAAGUGAUACUGCUGUGCUAGAGUGCGGAAGAGGCAACCGGAAUUCUUGGUGUAGCGGUGAAAUGCGUAGAUAUCAAGAGGAACACCUGAGGCGAAGGCGGGUUGCUGGGCCGACACUGACGCUGAUGCGCGAAAGCCAGGGGAGCAAACG